CCUCUUCCUCGCCUUUGAGGCAGUAGCGUUCGAAGUCGUUGCCUUAGAAGAAGACUUGGCCUCCAUAGGUUUUGAAGCGAUCGGCUUCACAUUCGCGACGGUUUUGGGAGGCGGAGGAGGAUCCGAGUCGGAAUCGGUGUCGGGGUCGUCGGAAUCCUCCUCAGAUUCAGAACCAUCAUCCUGCUCCUGAAUCGCUGGCUUUUUCAGCUGAGCUUGGGAUCGUUGAG
rnacentral:lncRNA from 1 species